GCUGGACUCAGUGACACAUGCCUAUAGUUCCAGCUACUCAGGAGGCUGAGGUGGGAGGAUCUCUUGAGCCCAGGAGUUCUGGGCUGUAGUGCGCUAUGCCGAUUGGGUGUCUACACUAAGUUUGGUAUCAAUAUCAUGACCUCCCUGGAGCAGGGGCCACCAGGUUGCAUAAGGAGGGAUGAACCAGCCCAGGUCUGAAAUGGAGCAGGUCAAAACUCCCGGGCUGAUCAGUAGUGGGAUCGUGCCUGUGAAUAGCCACUGCACUCCACCCUGGGCAACAUAGUGAGAUCCUGUCUCU
rnacentral:SRP_RNA from 1 species